UUCCGCUCGCCUGGCUCCGAGUCCGGGUUUGCGCAAAGCAUCGUGUCCUGACGGGACCGGACCCCCGGGGGGGGGGGGGGUCACACGCCCCUCCCCCUCCCCGCCGCGCCAGGGCUGUGGCGCCACGCGCGGCUGGACGAGGCAGCGCUGAUGCUGAGUGCCUACGGAUGCUAAUCGAGGUCCAGGACCCUACUGCACCAGAUGCUAUGCAGACAGAGUAAGAAGAUAGUGUCUACCCCAAAUGGCUCAUCAUAUCAUGACAAAGACCAAAAAAAAGGCAGAUGAAAAGCAAAUUGGGGGAGGGGGGAAACGACACAACAAGAAAGGAUAACAGGCAACACCCAGACUUCCUUCAGCAGCCCCAGCCCCAACCCUAACCUGACUGAAGGAUGGCUACUAACCCCAGCUGUGAGAUUAUGUCCUGCCACAAGCUACAUGGUCUCUGCACCAAUGGAACACCAUAAGGCCUCAGUGGGAAAACGCAGAGAGUUCUAUUUUUCCUACUAAAGAACCAUGCAACAAGAAAACAUGUACAAGAUAGACUGGGAAAAUGGCACAAUGGUAUCACCUGAGUUUCAUCCAAUAUGGCCUCAGAAAAUGUACUGUAUUGACAUGUGCCAUAAUAUGUUCAAAACUAUCAAGGAGAAUGUUUCUGGAUAGUAGUAGCUCAUACCAGUUACAACCUGGUACCUAUGCAAGUAAUACUGUGCCAACUACUGGCACCUUUUUUGGAAACAGUGGAAGCAAGACAACAGAGCUGCAAAAACUCAACAAGCUAUUUUGAACAGAGAUAAACAAGAACACUGUGGGGCUGAAUCCAGCUGACCCACUACACCCUUUCACAGGCAAGAAGCCAGUCAACCCACUAUGCUAACGUUUUCACUUGACCCAGGUGACUUAACAGAUAGCAACUCCAAUUAGCUCAGUCCAGCUAUUAAAGAUAUUAAAGCAUCAAAUGCAAUCCUCCCCAUUUAUUAAAGUGGCUUUGAAAAUUAAAUGGUUUCAGAUGAGAUCAACUACAGUGGAACAUAUAUAUCAGUGCACCAAAUCCUCCUCUGCAACCCAGAUUUUGAUGUGCUAAUUCAAACUCUAAAAAGACUACCUUAUUAUUCCUGCUACUCUGCAGCCCCUCCAUAAGCAUGCAGAGACAAGGCAGGUGACAGGUAAAACCUUGUCAGCUGCUUUUGCAUUCAAAGUAUAAUUUAAAACAGUGGUUCUUAACCUUUACUGCAGCCUGCACCCCCCUUUGGUUCUCAAAAUAUGUUCUCACACCUCUUAUCAAAAAUCAAAACGUUCUCACACCCCUUAAACCUAGAUAUAGUUUGUAUAUUACAGUAAUCGUUAAAAAAAGUAUGUUAAUAAAUACAUAGAUUUGAUGAAACAAAGCAGUUGUACUUACUGCCUGUGCUUAAUUUGUGUUUUCGAUGAUUUACCUUCUAAAAAAAUCUGGCAUGUCUUGCACCCCCAGAAAGGGCAUCUCGCACCCCCAAGGGGUGUAUGCACCCCAUGUUAAGAACCACUGAUUUAGAAUUUCAAGUUAUUUGAAAUAGAAAACUAAAGUACAAAUUGUAAGGUUGUAAAGAAUUAAAAACAAAUAAAAUACACACUAGCUUCUAUAUACUCAGGCGGCAUCCCUGAACUAAAUAAACUUAUUAGUUCCUUGAAGAAAAGGAUAAAGCCAAAGAAAAGGCCAAGUCUGUUUUACCCUCAUUUGCACCUGAGACACUUUCCCUUCCCCUAAAGAAGUCACCAAGAAGGGAAGCGAGGGGCACUGUCCUCUUUCCCUUCUAUUGCUUAGAAAAUUAAGGGGGAAAACAUUCUCCCAUUAUGCUUUUACUACAUUUUUUUUUAAAGUAAAAAGUGAAUUUAGGGUGACAAGAUGUCCAAUUUUAUAGGGACAGUCCUGAUAUUUGGGGUUUUUUCCUAUAUAGGCACCUAUUACCACCCUCGUCCCAAUUUUUCACAUUUGCUAUCUGGUCACCCUAAGUGAAUUUCAUAUUGGUGAGAUACUAUAACCCAGUGCUAUGGAAGCUUAGCUGCACAACUCAAAAACCAACAGGAGGGAACUCCCCAGGCCAAUACAGGUAGCCUUAAUCUUUUACUAAUAAUUCGGGUCCGUUCUGGGAGUCUAACCAGAGAUGCCAACUAUCAUACGGUCUCCAUGGCACCUUGACUUACAACCAAGUCACUGCACAUAGUAAGUAUCUUACAGGUGUUUACUCACCAUCAAUCCAGAUCAGAUUUGAAUGAAUGACAGAGAUAGUAACUGCAAUAACACUUAAUCCUCAAGGUCAAACUCCCUGUUUUACUAAUUCAUUUCUAAUGUUUAAACUUAGGGAGGGAAUGUUAUGUAUUUACUCAUUUUAGUACUGGGAAUCCAUAAUUUUUCUGGGGUCUCAUAAAAGGCCAGCUAAGGGGAAACAGCAGUUUAAAAGUUAGGCCUCGUCUACACUGGCAAGUUCCUGCUCAGUAAAGCAGCUUUAUGCAGUGUAACUCCCGAGGUGUACACACUGCCAAAUCACUUAGUGCACAGAAACUGCAAAGUAUCAGCGCUGUGAAAGAACCACCCCAAUGAGAGGUGUACAUAUUUCUGCGCCAGAGCUACAGCGCCGCGGUGCCAGUGUAGACACCCUGGUCGAUUACAGCGCUGCAACUGGCCUCCGGGAGGUGUCCCACAAUGCCUGUUCUCAC